rnacentral:ncRNA from 1 species
GGCCGGAUAAGGUGCUUGCACCGCAUCCGGCAUCAACGUCUGCACAUUGUCGGAUGCGACGCCGGGCGUCUUAUCCGACC